CUGAAAAUUCAACAAAUAUAACAAAUAACUAACCAAAUUAACGCUCAUUCGUUUUAAAGUACAGUGCGAGUAAAUUUGUUCACAGAAUAGAGAGAAAAAGGUGAGAGUACGAACCGGAGAUGAGGACAUGAGAACUGCAGUGCUUGCAGUAAUACACGAAGAGAUCGGAGUUGGUACCGUCGGUAACUGCGUCUUCGCUAGAGUAUGUGUGCGUUGUCCUCUUCGGCAUCUUUCCCCUAAACCUCUCGCAAGUA
rnacentral:misc_RNA from 1 species